GAUGAACGCUGGCGGCGUGCCUAAUACAUGCAAGUCGAGCGAACAGACGAGGAGCUUGCUCCUCUGACGUUAGCGGCGGACGGGUGAGUAACACGUGGAUAACCUACCUAUAAGACUGGGAUAACUUCGGGAAACCGGAGCUAAUACCGGAUAAUAUAUUGAACCGCAUGGUUCAAUAGUGAAAGACGGUUUUGCUGUCACUUAUAGAUGGAUCCGCGCCGCAUUAGCUAGUUGGUAAGGUAACGGCUUACCAAGGCAACGAUGCGUAGCCGACCUGAGAGGGUGAUCGGCCACACUGGAACUGAGACACGGUCCAGACUCCUACGGGAGGCAGCAGUAGGGAAUCUUCCGCAAUGGGCGAAAGCUUGACGGAGCAACGCCGCGUGAGUGAUGAAGGUCUUCGGAUCGUAAAACUCUGUUAUUAGGGAAGAACAAAUGUGUAAGUAACUACGCACGUCUUGACGGUACCUAAUCAGAAAGCCACGGCUAACUACGUG
rnacentral:rRNA from 1 species